rnacentral:rRNA from 1 species
GACGGAGGGGGCUAGCGUUGCUCGGAAUUACUGGGCGUAAAGGGCGCGUAGGCGGGUUUGCAAGUUAGAGGUGAAAGCCCAGGGCUCAACCCUGGAAUUGCCUUUAAGACUGCAUCGCUUGAACAUCGGAGAGGUAAGUGGAAUUCCGAGUGUAGAGGUGAAAUUCGUAGAUAUUCGGAAGAACACCAGUGGCGAAGGCGACUUACUGGACGAUUGUUGACGCUGAGGUGCGAAAGCGUGGGGAGCAAACAGG